AGACUACGAUAGGUAGGGGCCCUGAUAGGGGGAUCCCCCACACUGGUACUGAGACACGGACCAGACUCCUACGGGAGGCAGCAGUGAGGAAUAUUGGACAAUGGGCGGGAGCCUGAUCCAGCCAUGCCGCGUGCAGGAUGACGGCCCUAUGGGUUGUAAACUGCUUUUAUACGGGAAGAAACGCACCUACGUGUAGGUGUCUGACGGUACCGUAAGAAUAAGGACCGGCUAACUCCGUGCCAGCAGCCGCGGUAAUACGGAGGGUCCGAGCGUUAUCCGGAAUCAUUGGGUUUAAAGGGUCCG
rnacentral:rRNA from 1 species